UAAAGCUAAGCAAAUAGCACACUAGACCACACAAUACUGUAACUCUGACUCAGACUAUUUAAAACUUACUUGUUUAAGCUAAAUAAUAUCUCUCAACAAGCAAAAUCUCCAGUACUGGGCAAGUGAGGUGCCAGAGCAGAAGGUUCCUGCUGGAGCCAUGAUACAAAUGUCUGAACAGUAAGCUUCCUGGCAACGAGGAGGAGACCAAGUCCAAAGGGGGAAGUUCGCAGGGUCAGCACGUGAAGCUUCAAAGAUCUGGCCUGGCCAGUUGCCUAAAUUCCCACUAAAUUAAGGGAAGAACCACCUCUUAAGUGGCAGGCCGAUAGGAAAUGAUUUCCCCAUGGGACAGAGCUAGAGGCCAGAGUGAACUUUCCACACCAUUUCAUAGCUAUCCAGGCUAAGAACAGGCAUCAAGCUACAGCAAGGUUCAACAGGAGGUGUACUUAAAUCAUGGAAAAAGCAAGAUGUGUAUCUGCUGGGUGCCAAUAUUCAAAUAACACUCAGAACAAUCUCUGCUGUGCAAUGUACAUAGACACGGCCUUAAUUUUUUAAUCCCUCAUCUGCACUCUCUAGUACACAAGGCUUUGUUACACAAGAACCUGUCAACUUUCUCUUUGGACUGUACCAUCCCACCAUCUGCAGAUGGGACUGGGUUGCAUCAAGGCUGCCUUGUGCUCAGGUAUCCC